rnacentral:rRNA from 1 species
UACGGAGGGUGCAAGCGUUAUCCGGAUUCACUGGGCUUAAAGGGCGCGUAGGCGGGCCUGUAAGUCCGUGGUGAAAUCUCCGAGCUUAACUUGGAAACUGCCAUGGAUACUAUAGGUCUUGAAUACUGUGGAGGUAAGCGGAAUAUGUCAUGUAGCGGUGAAAUGCUUAGAUAUGACAUAGAACACCGAUAGCGAAGGCAGCUUGCUACACAGUUAUUGACACUGAGGCACGAAAGCGUGGGGAGCAAACAGG